rnacentral:lncRNA from 1 species
GGACUUCCCUGGAGUCUCUUUUCCUUCCCACUCCUUACCUCCCUCCCUGCUAAGGAAAAAAAAAAUAGCCUCCUUGGAAGUUGAAGGGAAUGCAGUCCUGGGCCACCCUGCCUGAGAGAGAGCCUGGGAAAUGUCCUUUGUAGCUGAGGACACAGCCCCACCUCCACCCCACCCAGCAACAAAGGGGCCAACAUGAAGAAAGAGAGGAAGGGCAGAUUGGGGCAGGUCACCGGAAAUCUCUGUUGCAAAGUCCACAUCCCCUGUGGAAAGUGCCAGCACAGCCCACCUGUACCCUGGGGCUUGAAGCCUGCCCCUUAUCCCAGCUGGGGCUCUCCGUCACAUGCCCGUGACUACUGCCCGGCGAGGACUCCCGUGCAGACCAGCUCCCUAGGGCCCUGGGCCCGCUGUGCCCAUCUGUGCCAGCCAAGGACGGGCAGCAGGGGCGAAGAUAGGAUGUGACCCCUGCCCCUGAAGACUCGAUCCAGGAGACAGAGCCAAGGUCACACAGAGGACAGAGUGCGUGGGACCCCCUGACACCCCAUCCUUCCCAGCAGCUCAUCCUGCUGGUGGCCCAGAUCCAUGAUGAGCUGCUGUUUGAAGUGGAAGAUCCGCAGAUCCCGGAGUGUGCAGCUCUCGUCAGGAGGACCAUGGAGUCCUUGGAACAGGUGCAGGCAUUGGAGCUGCAGCUUCAGGUGAGGGGACACUUAAGCCUGCCCGGUCUUCCGGAGCCCAGGGGGAGGGGGAGGCCAGCACCCCCAGGGCAGAAGAGCCAGGCCAAAGGGUGCAGCCCCAGCCCCGAGAUGGCCACUCCGCAGCAGGCACAGCAGUGGAGGCUGGACCGUCCCUGAAGCCCGGGAAGCCCCACCCGACUCUGCUCACUUCAGUGAACAGGGACGGCAGCUGGGGCUGGACCCCUCCCUCCCUGUCAAGAGCUGUGAAGGCUUGGUCCACUCAAGGUCAGGGACCCCUAGGAGGGCUCUCCUGGCCUCUAGGAGCCACCAAUCCUCCCCGGGGGCAGGACCCUGAGGGGCAAGCACAGGACGCCCCAGGACACACCCACCCGUCCAAGGGCACCUUGUCUGCCGGCCGCAGCCUACCCACUGGCACAGAGGCCCUGGCAGGUGGGGGAACCUCCGCCAAGAUCGAGGUGUCGUGACUGGGAGGUGGAUGUGGCAUAAGCCUGUUGCUGGGCGAGUGUGGUGAGUGUGCACGUGUAUGCACAUGUGUGCGUGUGGCUGUCUGAUCAUGUAUCGAUGUGUGCACCUGUGUGCUGUAGGCCCUGUCCCCCUGCGUGGGGUCUGGGAGGUGGCUGGGGGUAGCUGGCCCAGGCCUGGGGCUCACCUCUGGCUGCCACCUGCAGGUACCCCUCAAGGUGAGCCUGAGUGCCGGCCGCUCAUGGGGACACCUGGUGCCACUGCAGGAGGCCUGGGGCCCUCCGCCAGGCCCAUGUCGCACUGAGUCUCCCAGCAACAGCCUGGCUACCCCCGGGUCCCCUGUCAGCACCCAGCCCCCACCCCCGCAUUUUUCGCCUUCAUUUUGUCUGUAGCCCCAGGCAACAGUGGGAGGAGAGAACUGGUUUCCAGCAGUCCAUUGUGUGGCCUUCCCCAAGGUCACCAGCUCUGUACGCCCCAGGACGCAUUAACCCUUUGGGGCUGGGGUGGCCCGUCAUCCCCUGGAGUAAAUGCCUGUGCAAAG